rnacentral:rRNA from 1 species
CCCGCACAAGCGGUGAGUAUGUGGUUUAAUUCGACGCAACGCGCAGAACCUUACCUAGACUUGACAUCCCGGGGAUUUUCUGGAAACAGAGAAGUGCUUUAGCAAUAAAGAACCCGGUGACAGGUGCUGCAUGGCUGUCGUCAGCUCGUGUCGUGAGAUGUUGGGUUAAGUCCCGCAACGAGCGCAACCCUCGCCUUUAGUUGCCAGCAUUCAGUUGGGCACUCUAGAGGGACUGCCGGUGUCAAACCGGAGGAAGGUGGGAUGACGUCAAGUCCUCAUGGCCUUUAUGUCUAGGGCUACACACGUACUACAAUGGCCGGUACAAAGGGCAGCCACUCAGCGAUGAGGCGCUAAUCCCAUAAAGCCGGUCUCAGUCCGGAUCGCAGUCUGCAACUCGACUGCGUGAAGUUGGAAUCGCUAGUAAUCGUAGAUCAGCAUGCUACGGUGAAUACGUUCCCGGGCCUU